rnacentral:lncRNA from 1 species
GGCGCCUCACGGGGCAAGAGGCGGCCCGCACUACUUAAGCACAUGCACACUCCAGAGUUGCCCGAUGUGGGACUAUUAAGGGAGGUCCCCCCACAGCCUGCCCACAACAGAUGCCCCCCACUAUGGAGGGUGCAGGUGUUGAGCGACAGGGGGCGGGUGCCCCUACCUGGCGCGCCACUGUUGUGUACACGUGUUAAGGUUACGGAACCUUUUCCUCUCCACCACUCG